AACGCACCUUGCACCCUCUGGUAUUCCGGAGGGUAUACCCGGUUGAGUGUCUUGAAUAUCUCAAGCCAAAAGAGAUUUUUGUCUCUUUGAAGCCUUGGUCUAUGAAUGUUGUUUGCCGAGUUAUAUUGGCUCAUUCAAAAAGCAUUAGCAAAGGUCUUUUGUAUGGACAAGGACAGUUCCUUCAAUGUGAUAAGCUCAUCAUUGUUGGGAGUCUGCCUCUUAGUACGGAGAGAUGUCUUUGCUCCUAAUCGUCAUUUGUGACACUUAUUGAAUAUUUCACCUCAACUCGGGUAGGACUACCCGCUGAACUUAA
rnacentral:misc_RNA from 1 species